rnacentral:rRNA from 1 species
GACGUAGGGCGCGAGCGUUGUCCGGAUUUAUUGGGCGUAAAGAGCUCGUAGGCGGCUUGUCGCGUCGACUGUGAAAUCCCGCGGCUCAACUGCGGGUCUGCAGUCGAUACGGGCAGGCUAGAGUUCGGUAGGGGAGACUGGAAUUCCUGGUGUAGCGGUGAAAUGCGCAGAUAUCAGGAGGAACACCGAUGCGAAGGCAGGUCUCUGGGCCGAUACUGACGCUGAGGAGCGAAAGCGUGGGGAGCGAACAGG